UUGAAUAUUUUUCAGUUUCUAAAGGUUCCUCCUUUCCCUCUCCCCAAAGGUUUGGGACAUGUUUCUGGUAGUUUGGUUUUACUCUGCUUGAGUGGCACAAUGUUGUAUCCCAUCCUCACGUGUCCCCUCCAUCAGUGUUCAUGUCCAGGCUCUGAGACCGAGGACAGCAACUCUGCCCAGCCACAGGGAGGACAGCCAAGGUCGGAACCAGAGAGGCACGGUCAGGACGAGGACGCAGAGUACGAACCAAAGAAAGGAGAGGAAGCACAGGCUCAGGUCCGAGGAGGCCAGGUGAGGCAGCACAAGGUUAGCAGCACACAGGUGCCCUGAGCUCAGGCAAGUAAACGAACAGCUGGGUCCAGGCCAGACGCAUGGGGACCUCGCCCAGCCCAAGGUCCCAGGCUUCCAGUAAACAGCAUCUCCAGGUGUGGCUAGGUCCUCCCAGAAGCUGCUUGACGGGGUGGAGAGAGAGCCAAGGCUUUGGAGUCGUACGUGUACGAGAAUUCGGGUCUUGGCCACAUCACUUACUAGUUGUGAUCUUGGGCAGAUCUCAAUGUUUCUGAGGCAUUUGGAGAAUUA